AUUGAACGCUGGCGGCAGGCUUAACACAUGCAAGUCGAGCGGAGAUGAGGUGCUUGCACCUUAUCUUAGCGGCGGACGGGUGAGUAAUGCUUAGGAAUCUGCCUAUUAGUGGGGGACAACAUUCCGAAAGGAAUGCUAAUACCGCAUACGCCCUACGGGGGAAAGCAGGGGAUCUUCGGACCUUGCGCUAAUAGAUGAGCCUAAGUCGGAUUAGCUAGUUGGUGGGGUAAAGGCCUACCAAGGCGACGAUCUGUAGCGGGUCUGAGAGGAUGAUCCGCCACACUGGGACUGAGACACGGCUCAGACUCCUACGGGAGGCAGCAGUGGGGAAUAUUUGACAAUGGGCGGAAGCCUGAUCCAGCCAUGCCGCGUGUGUGAAGAAGGCCUUUUGGUUGUAAAGCACUUUAAGCGAGGAGGAGGCUACUUAGAUUAAUACUCUAGGAUAGUGGACGUUACUCGCAGAAUAAGCACCGGCUAACUCUGUGCCAGCCGCCGCAGUAAUAC
rnacentral:rRNA from 1 species